rnacentral:rRNA from 1 species
UUUACGGAGAGUUUGAUCCUGGCUCAGGAUGAACGCUGGCGGCGUGCUUAACACAUGCAAGUCGAACGGUGAAAGCGGAGCUUGCUCUGCUGGAUCAGUGGCGAACGGGUGAGUAACACGUGAGCAAUCUGCCCCUGACUCUGGGAUAAGCGCUGGAAACGGCGUCUAAUACCGGAUACGAGCUGCGAAGGCAUCUUCAGCAGCUGGAAAGAACUUCGGUCAGGGAUGAGCUCGCGGCCUAUCAGCUAGUUGGUGGGGUAAUGGCCUACCAAGGCGACGACGGGUAGCCGACCUGAGAGGGUGACCGGCCACACUGGGACUGAGACACGGCCCAGACUCCUACGGGAGGCAGCAGUGGGGAAUAUUG